UGCGGAAGAGAUAAGUGCUGAAAGCAUCUAAGCACGAAACUUGCCCCGAGAUGAGUUCUCCCUGAGACCUUGAGUCUCCUGAAGGAACGUUGAAGACGACGACGUUGAUAGGUCGGGUGUGUAAGCGCAGCGAUGCGUUGAGCUAACCGAUACUAAUGAACCGUGAGGCUUAACCUU
rnacentral:rRNA from 1 species